UCCAGGGCCCCUCCCCCCACAACACAUGAACGCCCACCGCUGCCUGAGUCUGACUGCAUCGGAGGAGGAAGACAUGAGCGGAGCAAAACAUGCUAACUGACUGCUCAUGGCUCAUUCACAAGUCAGAGGACUGAGCUUGGAGCAGUGACGUGACACGAGCUUGUGUCUACAGUAACUGCCCACAGACAAAAUAAAGUGCUGUGGGCAACUUCAUAACUCCUGUGUCCAGGCUGCCACAUAUGCAGGCCGGUUUUGGCCCAAGUGGGCGGUUCUGCAGCAUCUCAGCCAUCGCCAUGUUGCCAGGGCUAGACUCCUCCUUUACCUGGCUAAUCCAAAUAUGGACAUAGAGGUGGGCCGAAUGCAGACCAGUCGCUGAAACACGCACACCAACGUCCAAGCUUACCAGUAAUGUGGUAAUGUGAGCUCCUGUACCAGUCAUCCCAACCAACGUUACACGUGGUACGUAACACUGGAACUAUAAAGCAACGCUUGGAAUAAGUCUUAAACAUGACUUUUUUUAUAUUUGUACUUGUAGUCUUAGUUAUUAUUGUUGUUUACUUAUUUAU